GAGCUCAACUUUGGAAUCGCUCCGGCGAGUUGUAGUCUGGAGGUGGCCACCACGAGGUGUUCUAGCAGCAGGCAAGUCCUUUGGAACAAGGCGCCAGCGAGGGUGACAGCCCCGUACCUGCUUUUGCUAGUGCUUCCUGUGGCCCACCGACGAGUCGAGUUGUUUGGGAAUGCAGCUCUAAGUGGGUGGUAAAUUCCAUCUAAGGCUAAAUAUUGGCGAGAGACCGAUAGCGAACAAGUACAGUGAUGGAAAGAUGAAAAGCACUUUGAAAAGAGAGUGAAACAGUACGUGAAAUUGUUGAAAGGGAAGGGCUUGCACCCAGACACGGUUUCGGCCGGGCCAGCAUCAAGUAGAACGGGGUUAAAAGACUUGGGGAAUGUAGCUACUUCGGUAGUGUUAUAGCCCUUGGUGAUGACCCCUGUUUUGCUUGAGGACAGC
rnacentral:rRNA from 1 species